rnacentral:rRNA from 1 species
AGCUCCAAUAGCGUAUAUUAAAGUUGUUGCAGUUAAAAAGCUCGUAGUUGGAUUUCUGGCAAUGCGCUGAUGUCGGCCGUGUGCUCGUGCAGACGCGCGUUUCCAUCCUUCUGUUAACGUUUCUUGGUAUUCAUUUACUGGUUUCGGGCUCAGAUAUUUUACCUUGAGAAAAUUAGAGUGUUUCAGGCAGGCUUGCGCCGGAAUACAUUAGCAUGGAAUAAUAGAAUAGGACUACGGUCCCUAUUUCGUUGGUUUGACGGACCGAAGUAAUGAUUAAGAGGGACAAUUGGGGGCAUCCGUAUUUCGUAGUCAGAGGUGAAAUUCUUGGACCUACGAAAGACGAACAACUGCGAAAGCAUUUGCCAAGAGUGUUUUCAUUAAUCAAGAACGAAAGUACGCA